UGCAGUCGACGACGACCUCGGGCUUGCCCGGGGAAGUGAGUGGCGAACGGCUGAGUAACGCGUGGGUGACCUGCCCAGAAGUGGGGAAUAACUGCCCGAAAGGGUGGCUAAUACCGCAUGUGGUCAUGAGUUCAUUCUUAUGACCAAAGCCUUCGGGCGCUUCUGGAGGGGCCUGCGUUCGAUUAGCUCGUUGGUGAGGUAAUGGCUCACCAAGGCGACGAUCGAUAGGUGGUCUGAGAGGAUGAUCACCCAGACUGGGACUGAGACACGGCCCAGACUCCUACGGGAGGCAGCAGUCGGGAAUUUUGCUCAAUGGGGGAAACCCUGAAGCAGCAACGCCGCGUGAGGGAUGAAGGCCUUCGGGUUGUAAACCUCUUUUCUCAGGGACGAUAAUGACGGUACCUGAGGAAUAAGCCACGGCUAACUACGUG
rnacentral:rRNA from 1 species